CGAAAGAGCAGUGAGGCAGAAGAGUAUUUCCAAAAGCCCGGAGUCUUGAUGACUUGCCUGGGAAUGACGGGGGGCAGGGCAAGCUGGCAGAAGAGCAGGGUCCCCAAGUCUACCUGUUCCCCCCCCACUCAGAUAACCUUCAAACCAUCCUGAACACCUACACAUCCCACCUGAGAUUUAAAGAGGAAAGAGCGGCUGCUACAGAGAAGGGGUUUUGCCUCUAACAAGAUCAUCACCUAUGCUUAGACCUACCUCUAAAGUGGACCUUUUAAAAUCC